rnacentral:rRNA from 1 species
GGUCAAGUUAAAAAGAGCACUAGGUGGAUGCCUAGGCACCAAGAGGCGAAGAAGGACGCGAUAAGCUGCGAAAAGCGACGGAGAAGAGCAAAUAUCUAAAGACCCGUCGAUAUCCGAAUGGGGAAACCCGG